rnacentral:rRNA from 1 species
AUGGACAACACCCAAUUCGCCAUGAUUGAGGAGCUGGCCUCGCUCAUCAAGGACAACCUCUACAGCAAGCACCUCGUCCUCUCCACCGAGGAGAUCCUCGUCACCCUCCUACAGCACAGCUACCUCGAUGACGACGAUGGACACGACCGCGCCACAACUGAAACAAGUCGCGGGGCAGCUGGGAAUACCAUAGAGCUCCAGCCCACCAGCUCCUACAAUCGCCUCCUUUUGCAUCGUCUCGCCGACAUAUAUGGGUUUGCUCACGAAUCUGUUGGCGAGGGUGAGGAUCGGCAUUUGGUUCUCCAGCGCUGCCCUGAGACAGCCAUCCCUCCCGUCCUUGUCAGCGAUGUGUUGUGGAAUUAUGACGACGGUGAUGGUCCUUCAGCCUCUCUCAUGCUAGCGAGAAAUGAGACAGAUCUUCAGAAAAUUUAUGAGCCAGAAAAUGUCCAAGACGCUAUUUCUCUUGAAAGCUUGCAUCUGAAAACUGAUACACCAGUUUCGAAGCCAUUGCCGCAGUUGGUGCCACCUUCAGCAGCAUCGCUUAAGGAGAGGGAAGCUGCUUAUCGGGCUGCUCGUGAGCGAAUCUUCUCUUCACAUGAAGCCAAGGGAAACGACACAUCAGCAGCAAAAUCUAGGCAUGUUCCUGCUGUUGCUCAACGGAUGAUCGCACACGCACUUGGUAAGAGAGUUGAAGAUCCAACAGAGAGAGCUGCCUUGGAGAAAAUCAAAGGGAAGGAACUGGUAAAUGGACGAACUAGUCCCACGAGUAAAGAAGCAGGGAAACACAACUCAAGCUCACCUGGUAGUGGUCCGUGUCGGAACCCAUCUGCUCGAAGCCGUCCUACACCUACUGUUAGCGCCGAGACGCUCAAGAAAGAACAGACUGGAGCGGCUAAAAGGAUGUUUGCACAUGCGUUGCGGCUCCCUGGUGUUGAGAUGCCCAAUGGCGCGGCCCGAAAACCCAAGUAA